rnacentral:rRNA from 1 species
AGACGUCAGCAAGUAUACUUGUUGGUGUCACACCUAACGGAUUAAGCAUUCCGCCUGGGGAGUACGGUCGCAAGAUUAAAACUCAAAGGAAUUGACGGGGGCCCGCACAAGCGGUGGAGCAUGUGGUUUAAUUCGACGCAACGCGCAGAACCUUACCAACCCUUGACAUCCUGUGCUACUACCAGAGAUGGUACGUUCCCUUCGGGGACGCAGUGACAGGUGCUGCAUGGCUGUCGUCAGCUCGUGUCGUGAGAUAUUCGGUUAAGUCCGGCAACGAGCGCAACCCACAUCUUUAGUUGCCAUCAGGUUAUGCUGGGCACUCUAGAGAAACUGCCCGUGAUAAGCGGGAGGAAGGUGUGGAUGACGUCAAGUCCUCAUGGCCCUUACGGGUUGGGCUACACACGUGCUACAAUGGCAGUGACAAUGGGUUAAUCCCCAAAAGCUGUCUCAGUUCGGAUUGGGGUCUGCAACUCGACCCCAUGAAGUCGGAAUCGCUAGUAAUCGCGUAACAGCGUGACGCGGUGAAUACGUUCCCGGGCCUUGUACACACCGCCCGUCACACCAUGGGAGUUGGUUCUACCCGACGACGCUGCGCUAACCCUUCGGGGAGGCAGGCGGCCACGGUAGGAUCAGCGACUGGGGUG